AUGCGUACAGAGUGCACACACAUCCAGAUCCAUGUGGUGUACAUGCAUAGAGUGUACACACAUCCAAAUAUAGUGUACAAACAAGUUCACUACGAGUGUAAAAGCAUAGAGCAUACACACAUCCAUAUAGCAAAUGUACAUAAGCUAACACGUAUGCGCAUGCAUAGCACGUACACCCAUCUAUAUGCAGUGUACACAGGUAUACUAUACCUGUAUGUACAUGCAUAUGGCAUACACAUGCACAUCCGUGCGUACAUAGGUAAGAUCGGAUGGAGAGCAGAACUACCUGAGACCCUUUUGAGGGACAGGCAUGUAGGAACUGCUGCAGUUUGAGGUGAGAGCAAGGUAAAGGUCUUACUGUGAGAAUCGGGUAAAAUCCUCUGUUACUGGGGAGUGGGUGGGGGAGCUGAGACAAUGCCCCAUUCACUCUCUUUUCUCACAGGUGCAUAAGCAGAGGGGCCUGAUGUCUGAAGACAGGGCAGGGCAGGUAGAUGAGAGAAGCAGAUUCUCUGGUCUUUCACUGAGUGUGAGGCAGCUACUGUCCAAGGCUGGGCAAGGGAUGGGAGCCCUGAGAGAUUCUUGAGGUGCAGAGAUAGAGGCUUGCUGAGGAUGAAAGUGUACAGGAGAGCUAAGAGAGGCUCCAGUGCUGACCAUGGCAUUCUGCAAGAAGAGAAAAUCUGUAUGUAGUGGUUUAUGAGGGAAAAUCAUGAGUUCAAUUUUGGAUAUCUAUGACUUUUGAAAUUCAGUGUCCAAGUAGAUAUACCAGUUAUGCAGUUGGAUAAUUUAUUAUAAGCCUGCAGUUCAAAAGGAGGUCCAAAAGGAGAAUUUAAGAGGAUGAGACUUGCUGAGCCCCUCCAGAGUGUGUGGUGAGGGAGAAGAGAAGAGGAUCAGGAACUGAGCUCUGGAGCUCUCCAAUAGGAAGUGUGACGGGAAAAGAUGAGGAAGAAACAAAGGAAGCCGAAGUGGUAGCUCCAGUGAGAUAGGCUGAGAAUCAAGUGAAUGUGCUGUCCUGGAAGCCAAGUGAAGAAAGUAUACUAUGAAGAAGGAAGUGAUUAUUUGUGUCAAAUGCUGCUAAUAGGCCAAUUAAAGUUGUAGUAAAAAAUGAUCAUUGGAUCUAGCAAUAUGGAGAUUAUUGGUAACUUUGACAAAAGUGGUGUCAAUAACAUGAUCGAAAAAAGGGGAGAGAGCCCAACUGUGAUAUAUUUAAGAGACAAUGAGAGGAGAGGAAUUGAAGACAGAGAGUAUGGACAACUCUUUUAAGAUGUUUUGCUGAAAACUAGAGCAAAAAAUAGAUUGACAGCUGGCAUCAGAAGAAAAGCAAGGACAUGCUUAACAGCAUAUUUGUAUGCUGAUGGUAAUAAUUUACUAGCAUAAAAAUUGAUGACACAGUCACAAUUGAUGACACAUGAUGUAGUGAACUGCAACAGGAAAAUCCCCCAGUACACAGCAAAGAGGGAAUAUAAUACACAAAUAUAUUUUUUAAAAAAUUAUUUGAAUCUCUGAAACAUGUUUUGACAUUAACCUUUCAUUCCUGCAAUAGUUAUUUUAAGCAUGUUCUCAUUUGUCCAGUGUUGCCAGGUUAUUAUAAAGUAUAUUAGACUUUAUGAAAAGCGUUUUUUAAAAUGUUAGUUUUUUUCUCAUUUGUUUCAUUAAUUUAUAUUUUGUAUUUAUAACUUUCCUUUUAUCUUCUUUAGGUUUAUUAUGCUGUUUUUUUCCAAAAGCCCUCAAAAUGCAUGCUUAGACCAUUAAAUUUUAGCCGGUUUAGUAUUGAAAGUGAUGUUACCCAUUUCUGUGUGGUUACCUGUAAUAUACCAUGAGCGUCACUUCUUGGCAUCUUUACUUAUUAUUAAUUCACUUGUCUGAAGUUCCUCUAACUCUCCUUUCUAGUCCUAAGUUUCACUUUGCAAAUCAUUUUUUAUUCAUAGCCACGUAAAAUAGAAUUUAUUUUGAAAAGUCUCUCAUAUAAUUUUCACUUAUUCUAGGAUUAUAAUUUUUCUGUUUGUCUCUUUGAAUAAAACUUUCAGAUUUGUCAACACUCAUUUAGCAGUAGCUCCUACUGAUAGAAUUCCAUCCAUCUCUUUUGACCUAGUGAGCAAAUAUAAUAAUAAAUGCUGCUGAAAUUCAAUCCUGUCAGAUCUAACUGCCUGCAUAUAAAUUUCCAGGUCCCACAAAGGCAUCUCAUUGAGGUCACGUUCUGUUGUAUCCUUACUUUGUAUCUUGAGAUGCCUUGGUGGGGCAUGGAAAUUGAUAUGUAGGCAGUUUGAUCUGACAGGAUUGAAUUUCAGCAGCAUCCAUUAUUAUAUCCACUCACUAGAUCAAAAAACAUGGAUGGAAUCUUAUCAACAGGAGCUACUGCUAAAUGAGUCUCUUUUCUAUUUUUCCCUAUUAUAAUCUUAGUGAAUCUGUAAAUAUUAGGUUCUUGAACCCACAGAACUGAUUCUAGGAUCUUGUUUGGCCAGGGAUAUAGCCUUCUAAUCUGCAGAACCUUAUAGUAAUCAGCUACCAACUUACCUGGGGAUAAAAGAAUUGAAAAAAGAAGGAGAAUAAGAAGAAGCAAAUGGAGUCUCAUGGCUGAAGGGCCAGCAUCAAUGUGGGUUGAGCCUGGAGUCUCUGGACAUGGUAGGUCUGAGCCUUUUUAUGAUGCUGUCUGAGUCUGUGAUUUGUUCUUGGUUGGUAGAGCCUAACGAAAAGAGAAUAACUAAAUCUUCCACAAGAAACUUCCGGGGACACACAAGUACCUAAAUGUGGUGAUAUCUCAAUGGAUGAG
rnacentral:lncRNA from 1 species